GUCAUUGAAAUUUUAACUAUUUGCCCAUAUAUAUAGGAAGUCAGCCUGCUGACUAUGGUAAUAAACGGCUUAUGGAAUAAGCGUUACGGACCCGGGGGCGGUACCCGGCAUCUCCACCAAUUAAGCGCUUGCGUUUACUUGGUGGGGAUGAAACAGGAUCGACGUGCGUAGUAAAGAUAGGUUUUUUACCCGGUGUUGUUCCGCUGUUACCGGACUAAAAUAUAUAAUUGCAAACGAAAAUCGUAUUGCUAUGAAUGACAAUUACUCCAUGGAAGCUCUAGUAGCCGCCUAAAGUGUGUCAUUUGUGCGGUUUGUGGGGCACCGGGCAACAGAAAGCCCCACA
rnacentral:tmRNA from 1 species